CAAGCAACACAAGCGCCAGAACUUCGGCUUGGCCGGACGGGUGUUCGCACGCGGCGAAUAGCGGCGAGGGCUGCCGGCAAGAACGAAGUUGACGAGGUGAAGGUGUUCGAAGCAUUCGGCGGGGACCUUCCGGUGCAUGGAGUGCGCCGUAAGCUGAAGGGCAAAUAGCCGCGGGCGACCGGGCUGACAGGACUUCAGCAACAUUCCAG
rnacentral:ncRNA from 2 species